rnacentral:rRNA from 1 species
CGUGAGACAGUUCGGUCCCUAUCUGCCGUGGGCGCUGGAGAACUGAGGGGGGCUGCUCCUAGUACGAGAGGACCGGAGUGGACGCAUCACUGGUGUUCGGGUUGUCAUGCCAAUGGCACUGCCCGGUAGCUAAAUGCGGAAGAGAUAAGUGCUGAAAGCAUCUAAGCACGAAACUUGCCCCGAGAUGAGUUCUCCCUGACCCUUUAAGGGUCCUGAAGGAACGUUGAAGACGACGACGUUGAUAGGCCGGGUGUGUAAGCGCAGCGAUGCGUUGAGCUAACCGGUACUAAUGAACCGUGAGGCUUAACCUUACAACGCCGAAG